GAGAUAAGUCUCGUUACACUUGCUGAGAUAUAUAGAUGUGAAUUCCAAACUGUGAUAUGCAUUGAUUGUAUCCUUAUUAAUAUACAAAAGAUAAUAGAUAACACACUUCAUUGAGAGAAAUGAAUUCCAAGUGCCAAAUAUGUUUUUAUAGGCAUCUAACAGUGAAGAGAUUAAAAAAAAAAGAAAAAGGAUAUGCUACGAAAAAUUACAUCUAAGAAAAACAUUCAUUAAAUUUUCAAGAAAGAGACAAGAUACUUUGGGGGGUUUCUUUAUGAAAAUCGAAAAAUUGUUGUUUAUGUUAAUGAAAGUGAAAAGGAAGACAACUUUAUAUCCACCUUUUCCUGAAAUAUUAUUAUUGUAUCUAAUAUACUUUUUAGUCUUUUAAAACGGUAUGUGAUCAAAAGUUUAAUUGUCAAUGUUCCUCUGAAAAAAGUAGAAUCUACUUGAGAGAUACAGUAAAUAUAAAUACUUAUACAGUGCAUAUAUUGAAUUUUAGUAUUACUAUAUAUUAAGUAAAUGAAGAAUGUGUACAUGCAGUAAUGUGAAAUACCUAACCAAUAAUCAGUCAGAUACUUGUCAUUUUAAGUAUAAAAACUGUAACAAUAAGUUCUUAGCACCCAUAAAUAUACUUUGUACAAUCUGUUUUUUGACCCUACAUAUAGCUAAUGCUGUGAUGUCGCAAAUGAAUGUACAUAUUUGCAUUUAUUUGGGAACAUUUAGUGUAUUUUAAAUGACUUUCAAGUUCAUUAUGUCCGGUAUGUGUAAUAUAUAUUUAUGCACAAUAUUUUAUUCUGCGAACCAGGUUACUAUUUCCAUCCUUGUUUUUGGUGAUUUUCAUUAUAAAUACAGAACCUUUCAGCAA
rnacentral:misc_RNA from 1 species